UGACAACAGGUGUUAAGAGGAAGAGAGGAGCAAGCAUAUAUAUAUGGCACUCCAGGAAGAUGAAGGUGGGAUUAUAGAAGUUGCUUUGCUGUGACUAAAGAGAACUUGUAAGGAAGCCUGUGUCCAUAGAUUGUCAUGGGUAUGCAGCUGUAGUCUGGGAGGUCUGAUGUUAGGGAAAAAGAAGGAGGAAAGCAAGAUUAAAAAUCAUUCCUGGAAAUGCAAGAGAAAAUGUGCUGGAGUGGUGCUGUUAGUACCAGGGACACUGGACAAGAAAGAUAAGCAAGCCACUGCUGUCUGAUUCCUACAUAGCAGGCUAAUUCUGUGACUUUCAGGAUGAGUGAAGAGCUAUAAGAAUGGAAUCGAGACUAGGAGAGGAACAUCCAAAGGAGAGAAAAUGACUGCAGUGGGAGAGAACAAGAGCUACGAUCAAAAAGAGGAGAGACAAGCAGCACUGAGGAAGACAGAAGGGUAAGAAGAGGUAUAAUGGCUUAGGGGCAGAGGAGAACUACUGUAGUGAGUGUGUGGUGUUGAGUUCUCAACCCAGAUGAACUUUGUGAGUGAGCUAUAGAGAACUGAGAUAGACCCAAGAUAAUCCAGCAGCCAUUCUAUAAAGUUGAGAGGUGAUGUCAGAAGUGGGAUCCAAAGAAAAGCUUCCAGUGACCCCCAGG
rnacentral:lncRNA from 1 species